CAUCGGGUAUCGUGCAGUCAGAAAUUAUUUGAUAUUUUUAUUUAAAAUUAAACACAAAUAAUAUCUGACGAAAACUGACCUCACGAUGUACGAUGAACGGUUAGAAUGUGGGGAUCCCUAAGAUCCCCAUAAAGUGGAUCCGAAGAUGAUCCCUUUCUUGUAACAAAGGCCAAGGCAAGGUUUAAGAGUAGAAAAAUAAGUAAAAUAUUGAAAUGAUUGAUAAAACCAAGACCAACUCGAUAGUUUAUAUUUUUUUAAUGAUAAAACCAAGACAACCUUGACAAUUUAUUGUAUACUCACGUCCAGCCAUCCAACAAGUUCUUAAUAAACCAAGUUCAACUUGACAAUUUUAUUUAUUUAUUUUAGUUUUAAUUUUUUUUGGUAAACUAUUUAUUUUAGUAUUUGGCAAUGUUUUGUUAUUUCUUUUUCUUUUUGAGUUUAACUUAUUUAUAUAAUAAAAGUAUAUAAUAAAUUUACUUACAACUGCUUAGUCCACUUAAGCCCUUGCCUAAGCUCCGUCUAGCGUUUAUCAUGACUGUUGCCCGAUUAGCGCCUGUUUAUACCAUAUUUAGGGCCUCCGUAUUUAGACCUCGUACAAAUACUCGGGAGACUUAAAUGUAAUUAUGUGAUAAAGGAAGGGGCAAAUAUGUAAUAAGUGAGGAGUCCUUAUUUUAUAAAAGGACCCCUCACCCUCACAAUUGGAGGAGGUCAAUUCCUAGGCCCUCUCACCCCUUCUCAAAGCUCUCACUCUUAGAGCUCUCCUUGUCUCCCUAAAAAAUAUAAUCAGUGUGGACGUAGCCUAAACCUUGGGGUGAACCACGAUACAUCUUGUGUUAUUUACAUUACUUGCAGAUUCACGGUCGGAUUUACGUUGUACCAAGACCUCCGGUUUUAUGCAUCAACAUUUGGCGCCGUCUGUGGGAAUCGACACGAAAAGCUAUGUCGGUUCUCUUUCAUUUUUUCACCUCCGCCGUGAAUUUGAAAACCAAAGCUUUCCUAGAUCCCACACACAUUCUCAUGCACCUGAAGAGACAUCCACCUCUGAAGAAAAGUCAGAAGCUGGUCUAACAGGGCGCACCAAGAAAGAAUUAGCAGCACUUCGUAAGAAGUCCUUCCAUACGGAUCGAAAUUACAGCG
rnacentral:lncRNA from 1 species